UAAGAGGACAGCAGCCUUGUUGGAUGACUCAGCCUGGCCAUGUGUGGUGUGACUUGAUGUGUGUGUCUACGCUGAAACAAGUCUAUUCUGGACUCAUUCAAGUCCGGAACUUUCAAGUUACACGUUAAUGUUGUUAUAGCACCACUUUAGUCAUAUAUCUCUUAGAGUGGGUUUAAAUGAUAAGAUUAGUGUACAUCGAGACCUUCCAGUUGCUUCAAGCCAACUAGCCCUCUUCUCUCUGUGACUUCCAUGCUGAGAGGUUACUGGCUCUCCAGAUGGUGGUGCGGUCAGCCCAACACAGCAUCGGGGACACACUGCCUGCCCUCCAUCUACAGCACUCCGUGUCACAGGAAGGCCAAGAACAUCAUCAAGGACCUCAGCCACCCGAGCCACGGACUGUUCACCCCGCGAAAAUCUAGAAUGCGGAGACAGUACAGGUGCAUCAAAGCUGGGGCCGAGAGAAUGAUAACCAGCUUCUAUCUCCAGGCAAUCAAACUGUUAAAGAGUCAUCACUAGCCGGCCUCCGCCCAGUACCCUGCCCUGAGCCUUAGAGACUGCUGCCUUAUGUACAUCGAGUCAAGGGAUACUGGUCACUUAAAUAAUGUUUACAUACUGUUUUACCCACUUCAUAUGUAUAUAUUGUAUUCUAGUCAAGGCUCAUCCUAUAUAACUACGGCUGUAUACACUUUUCUAUUCACAUACUGUCUAUACCGUCUAUACACCAUCCACUUACAUAUACUGUAUAUAUUCUGGACUCUGUUCAGGAAGUUAAAUUCUUGCAAUUCUAUCCGUUUUGCCAUGGGGUUUUGUAUUGUGUAUUUAAAUACUGUAUUCUCAUCAUAGUUCAUUCUAUUAUUUAUUCUACUGCACAUUGCAAUUUAGUUGUCUGUUUAUAUACAACGCAUAUUUAUUUACAUACUGGAUAACUGUCAUAGCUCACUAUAACAUUGUUGUAUAUGUCAUUCUUAGUAUAUAUGUAUAGAUUGCAUUUGGAUUACUGUUACAGUUUUAUUUGGGUUAAUUGGAUUUGUUCCGAAAAGUUUACAAUUAUUUUUUAUUUUGUAUUUUGAUUAUUUGUGUACUUGUUUGACAUUUUCGUACAUUGUUAGGAACAAAUAAACUUAGAUUUUAUUAACCCUAACCGUAACACCUAACCUUAACCCCUAAACCUUAGCCUAGCUAUUGUUUGUCACCUAGCUAAAUUUAGCUAAGAAAAAUUGGAGUUCAUUAUGAAGAAAAUUGUGUACUGGACAUGCAUGCAUUAUGAAGAAUAAAAUCGCAUGACUUUCACAAAUGUUCAAAUAAUUAAUUUGUGUCUAUUUCAUGAUAAUCAGUGAUAAUGGGUUUUGUAGCUGAAUGAUGCAAUAAUGUUUAAGAAUGUGAGAUUAACUUUCAUAGAUCCACUGUACAAUGAGCACUAUGUUUAAAGGUCGUACUGUCACGCCUUGACCAUAGAGAGCCUUUUAUUCUCUAUGUUGGUUAGGUCAGGGUGUGACUAGGGUGGGUUAUCUAGGUUGUUUUAUGUCUAUGUUGGCCUGGUAUGGUUCCCAAUCAGAGGCAGCUGUUUCUCUGAUUGGGGAUCAUAUUUAGGCAGCCAUUUACCCACUGUGUUUUUGUGGGAUCUUGUUUUGAGUUAGUGCAUGUAGCACCACUUAUGUUACGGUUCCUUGUUCCUUUUUUGUUUUGUAAGUUUCACAAAAAUAAAGACGUGGAACUCAGA